GCAAGUGCCGUUGACAGAAUGCAGGCGGGAAGCUUCAGUUUGGGUAGAGAUGUAGCAUCAAACAUUCACGGAUGUCCAGGGAGCACGGGCACACAGGCUGCUGGCCAGAGGUACUAGGAAGGUACAGGCGGGAGUUCGACGAGGACGCACCUUCCCCUGUCUUGGAAAGGAGGCUGCUCACAGCGCUGCUGGACUCUUUAAGCCCUGAGGUCAUGUGAAAAGAAGUUUGCCCUGUGUCCUUCUGUCUCCUGUUGGCUGUCCACAAAAUGGAGAAGGCGGAAGCAACCUGAGGCGUCCUCUUUGUCUGUAAAGAUAGAGAGUCCAUUGUGGAAGGGGGAGAUACAGGAACUAUAUAGGCGAGGCUCUACCGGACUGCAUCUCUUAUCUCCAGAAUUCUUUUACAGAAAAGAAAAAAAUAAACUUUUAUCUGGCUUAAGCCACUACUGUUUCUGGGCUCUGUUACUAGCUGCCAAAUGCAAAUCUUAACUGAUAGAAAAGUCCUUGACGGAGUUUGAGCUGGUGAAUGGAUGCUGCCUGUUCAGUGGCUCUGCAGUGGUGGAUCUGUGGGAGUGGAGCAUCCUGGAGGGUACCAGGAGAUAAAGAUGGCUUGGCAGAUGGGGGCAGACAGUGAGAAUACACCUCACAAGGUGUCACGGACUUUCUUUUCCCCCAGGACACCUCUGCUGAAGUACUGUUAUACAGUGGCUCUUUAAACGUCUAUUGAUGGAGUAAUUUGAAGUCCGCUCCUGUCAGCUGGCCUCAAAGCUGGGCUAUUUAGAAGAUGCGUACUCUUUGUGCCUAAAAAAAAGAGCAGCAGGUAAAGAAUGGAGCGGGAAGGGGUAUCAGCAUUACAGGAAAGUCAAGUGACUCCCUGCAGGCGUCUCCAAGGAAAGGACUUUGUUACACGUGAUUGUCUAAUGAAAAUACAUCAAAGUCUAAUGAAGAUAUCCUUUACUGAGUAGCAACUGUAAAUAAUGUCCCAGAUGUACAUCCUUCUGUAGCUUAUAGCAUGAAUUCAUAUACUACCUAUUUCUAAUUUAUUAUUUUCAUAAUAACUUCAUCAUCGUAAGAUUAGACAAGACUGUUCCAUUUUACGUUAGAAGGACAUUUACUGUUUAUAUGGAUUAUAAAAAUAUGAACAGACUCCGGUUCUAGCUCAUUCUGUAAUCCAAGUACUUGUGAGCCAGAGGCAGAAAGACAGUUGUGAGUUUAAGGUCAGGUGACUGUGGGUGACAUAGUCCAGGGACCAGGGGGCUGCAGGGUUAGACUUUCCUCUCAAAAAAAAAAAAAAAAAAAAACCAUAAAAAAGUUCAGUUACACAGCACAACUACUAAAGCAACAUAAAAGAGAGUAGCUUGGCCCCAUGUAACGAAGGAUUUUACCAUCUUUUUCUAUUGUGUAAGAAACUGUAAGUCCAGAGCCAGGGAGACAGCUCAUCAGGCAAAACUGCUUGCCACAAACCUGACAGCCUGGGUGUGAUCCCUGGAACUGACCCCUGAGAAGGGUCCUCUGCCUUCCUCACUUGUACCUUGGCACCCACAUGCCUGCACUCAUUCUCACAUCACACAUCACACACACACACACACACACACACACACACACACACACACCAAUAAAUAAUAAUAGUAAAUUCAAUCUUAAUUCCAGAGCAUAGAUCUCUUGUGAACUAAAUGUAUUAACUUACUAUUUCCUUCCUUCCUUCCUUCCUUCCUUCCUUCCUUCCUUCCUUCCUUCCUUCCUUCCUUCCUUCCUUCCUUUUUUUUGUUUUUUCGAGAUAGGGUUUCUCUGUAUAGCCCUGGAUAUCCUGGAAUUCACUUUGUAGACCAGGCUGGCCUCGAACUCAGAAAUCCCCCUGCCUCUGCCUCCCGAGUGCUGGGAUUAAAGGUGUGCGCCACCAUGCCCGACACUAUUCCAUUUCUUUUUUUCUUUCUUAAAACUUAGUUGGGGGCUGGAGAGAUAGCUCAGCAGUUAGAGCACUGGUUGCUCUUCCAGAGGACCUACAUUCCACUCCCAGCACCCACAUGGCAGAUCAUAGCCAUCUAUAUAACUCCAGUUCUAACCCUGGGCACCAGACGUGAGCAUGGUACACAGAUAUGCAUGUAGAAAAAAAACCCAUAUGCAUAAGAUAAAUGAAGCUUUUAAAAGUAUAUGUUGGGACUCUAAGGUUCCUUUCAAACUUGGCAUGGAUAAAUAAUCAGAAGCCUCACAAUUCACCUUCAUAUCUCAACUCCAUUAAAGCUGUGGCCUUCAGCCUUUCUCUCCACCUCGGGGAGGACAGAUNNNNNNNNNNNNNNNNNNNNNUGUGUGUGUGUGUGUGGUUGUUGCUUGUUUUUGUUUCUCUCUUUCUUUUUCCUUUUUAAAAAUGCAGUCUUGCUAUGUAGUGCCUGUUAGCCUGCUACUUACUAUGCAGCCCAUAACUCUUGGCGAUCCUCCUGCAUCAGCAAGUUUCACAGUCUUAGGUCACCAUGCCCAGCUUCAACUAUUAGGGUUUGACUGGUACUUCUCUGAAGUUCCUGGGUUGCAUUUUGUAAGAUCUGCACUGAGGAGAAAGACGCUGAAGCCUGCCAUCUGCCGCACAGACUUUGUUUUCUCCGGUUAAACGGUAACGAUGCUGCUAUGUGUGGGGCACCGUGUGCCAGCAGCUGAGUGGCUGGCUAGUAUUCUAACCCCAACGAAGACUCUGGGAAGCAGCUGUAUUGGUGAAGAAACCGUUUCGGAGCUGUGGCUCAAGGCUGCAGAGAGCAGCUGAGCAAGGGCAGUUUAAGGUCUUGCUGACUCCUGUGUGGCUCAGAGGGUGACCUGUCAUUCUUAUAAAUAAUCUGGAGGAGAACAAGGCCAACUGUCUCCGUGCGACACUUGAUCCCACAUUUAUCCUUUCAGGCUGCCAAACUGAAAGACCUUAUGGUGAUUAAAUAUUUCUGGCCAGCAAUGCCCUGCCACUUUAUUGAAAAACGAUAGCCUGAUAUCUUCUAUAAUUUUUUUUUUUUUCUGUUGAGACAAGGUCUCAUGCAGUCCAGGCCAGUCUUGAAUUCACUGUGUAGCCAAGGUCAACCUUCAGUUUCUGAUCCCCCUGCCUCCUUCUUCUAAGCACCAAAGCUAAAGGUGCGCCCAGAUUGUCAUGCCAUGGCUUUGUGCGUGCUAGGUGAGUGUUCUAACUGAACCACAUCUGUAGCUCUGAAACUGUUUCCAUAAAAACAAAUGUUCUGUAUCAGCGUUAGCUAUGGUGGACAAGCUGCCCCAAGGCGCCAUAGUUCAUUGGUAAUGCAUUGCAGAGGGGCUGGAGAAAUGGCUCAGCGGUAAAGAACACUGACUGCUCUUCGGAAGGUCCUGAGUUCAAAUCUCAGCAACCACAUAGUGGCUCAUAACCAUCUGUAAUGAGAUCUGACGCCCUCCUCUGGUGUGUCGGAAGACAGCUACAGUGUACUUACAUAUAAUAAUAAAUAAAUCUUUAAAAAAAGAACACAGUAAAAAACAAAACACACAACACACACACACAUGCACACACACAAUGCAUUGCAGAGGGUCCACCCUUUUCAUUGGAUGGACAAGGCUCUGCCUCAUGGGGGUGAUGGUAGGAAUGGGAUAAAUCAAACAAAUGACAAACCACACACACACACACACACACACACACACACACACAACCCCCCAAAAGAAAACCAAAAUUAAAUGAAAUAAAAAAACAGGACAGGUAAGAUAGGUCAGUUGGUAAAAGUGCUUGCUGCUGGAACCCCAUCGGAGAGGGCAAGAACCCAUUCCUAAAGGUUGUCCUCUGAAUUCUCUGUGCAGAACACUACAGAACACACCUUUGUCUGUGCCUCCGUCUCUUCUGAAGCACACAGAAUAACAUCACUUUAUUUGGCAGGGGUGGAGGUGGGCAGCAAGCUACUGUAAACCAGGUUUGGGAAAUCUCUUCUCAAAGGACAGGACAUGUUGCGGUAAGAGAAGUAUGCUAGCUCAUAGAAGCUUGGGUGUGAAAAGUUCUUUGUAUUUUCUAAGGUUUUUAGAGCAGAGCUGGCGAUUAUGAGAUUUUAAUGUAGAACUGAAGCCCUAGGGCUAAGAGAAAGGAGAAUGCACUGGAAGAAAGGAAAGUGCAACCAAGAACCAAGGUGUGGGCUUCUCAAACAUUGCCUUCUUCCAGGGCAGAGAAGGCCCAGAUCAGGGCCAUGUAUCUGCAGAGGCCCAUAGGCAAGCCUGUGGUGUAUUUUCUCGAUUGAUGUGGAAGGGCCCAGCAUGUGGUAGUGGUUCUGAGUUCUAUGAGAAAGCAGGUUUCAGGAGAAGAUAAAAAACAAAAAAACAAAAAAACAAAAAAAAAAAAAAAACGCACACAGGUAAACAUUCCCUGUCUAGGGAACUGAUAGAAAAUGUUGUCAGUUAUUUGUCUGUAUUUUUUUAGUUGAAAUUUUAUCUUAUUUAUGUGUAUGUAUCUCUGGGUGUCUGCCACUUGUAUUUGGAUGGUCACGUAGAUCAGAGAAGGCAUCAGAGCCCCUGAAGCUGGAGUUCUAGGCAAUUCUGAGCAGCCCAGUGUCAUUGCUGAAAACUGAACUUGGCCCCUCUAGAAGAGCAGCCUGUGCUCUUAACUGCUGGGCUAUCUCUCCAGUCCCCAUUUGUGUAUAUUUUGAUAUUACUUAUUUAUUAAUUUAUUUUUGUUUGUUUGUCUUCAAGGCAGGGUUUCUCUAUGCAGCCCUGGCUAUCCUGGAACUCGCUCUGUAAAGCAGGCUGGCCUCUGACUCAAGAGCUGUACUUGCCUCUGCUUCCCAAGUGCUGGGACUAAAGGUGUGCACCCCACCCCCCACCCCGGCUGAUUUUAUUUAUUUAUUUUGUAAGUAUCUAUUGUUUUUAUUAUUGUAUGUGAAUGGGUGUUUUAUGUAUACAUGUUACAUGUAUCCACUACUUGCAUGCAGUGCCUGAGGAAGCCAGAAGAGGGCAUCAAAUCCCCUGCAACUGGAGUUAGAGUUGAAUCUGGGUCCUCUGGAAGAACAGCAGAUGCUCUUAACUGCUGGAUUAUCUCUCCAGCCCUUGUCUCCCCACCCCACCCCGCCCCAGACAGGGUUUCUCUGUGUAGCUCUGGCUGUCCUGGAACUCACUCUGUAGACCAGGCUGGCCUNNNNNNNNNNNNNNNNNNNNNNNNNNNNNNNNNNNNNNNNNNNNN
ensembl:lincRNA Lockd lncRNA downstream of Cdkn1b